AGUGGAUCUUGGAGCAGAGAAGCGGUGGUCUACGGGUCAAUGUUGGUGGUCUGGAACGCAGAACAUGAUCCUGGAGGCGGAACCACAGGCAGGGCAACAAGGUGGACAAAAGCAUGUGAGGAGAGCAACCAUUUUGCAGAAGGUGCCGGACUCCAGACAGCUUGGUGUCUUCUCCAGCUCUGCGCUGACGCUUGCAUCUCCUUAUCGAGCGGCGGUCCAGGAGGAGAAGGGUGGGACCCAAGACGCCGACCCGGCCCGUCCGGGGCGGCCCACCAAUGAGGGCGGCGAGGAGAUCGAGUGUCUCUAUAAGUGAAGGACAUCAUCUGCUCGCUAAGUUUGCAGAACCUGACAGCCGGUACGGGCCAGCGGGGAGCACGCUUCUUUCUGCUUUUCUCAGGUUGCCAAGUCCACUUUCAACAUGUCCGACAACGAGGAAGUGUA